AACAAACCCAUUGGGGUGGCUCAACAAUGCUUGCUGACAACCCCAAUGACCUAAGUUUGAUCUCUGGGGCCCACAGGAUGGAAGAGAGGACCAUCUCCCGCAAGCUGUCUGCUGACCUCAACACAGGUGCCAUAGUACAUGCACCACACUCCUGUGCACGGAUACAUAAGAUCAUGCACAUGAUACAGUGUUCUCAGACAUGGACCUGUAUUUUCACCAAUCAAGAGAGAAAAGACAAGGACUGGUGACAUGGCUCCGUGGACCCUGCCACCACGCUGGGACACCUGAGUUGGAUUCCAAAGAGCCACUUGGUAGAAGGAGAGAACCCUCUCCUCAAAGUUGUCCUCUGACCUACAUGUUUGUCCUGUGGUGCCCUUGUGCACAUAAAACAAAAUAAAGAAUAGAAUUAUUUCUUUUUGUCUUUUCAU
rnacentral:lncRNA from 1 species